rnacentral:ncRNA from 2 species
AUAUAAACCUGGACAGGAACGGCAGCCUCCGAUUUCUACAAGCGGAGCUAUAGUGUAUGGCAGGGCUGUAA